AGUGAACGCUGGCGGUAGGCCUAACACAUGCAAGUCGAACGGCAGCACAGUAAGAGCUUGCUCUUACGGGUGGCGAGUGGCGGACGGGUGAGGAAUACAUCGGAAUCUACUUUUUCGUGGGGGAUAACGUCGGGAAACUUACGCUAAUACCGCAUACGACCUACGGGUGAAAGCAGGGGAUCUUCGGACCUUGCGCGAUUGAAUGAGCCGAUGUCGGAUUAGCUAGUUGGCGGGGUAAAGGCCCACCAAGGCGACGAUCCGUAGCUGGUCUGAGAGGAUGAUCAGCCACACUGGAACUGAGACACGGUCCAGACUCCUACGGUGGGCAGCAGUGGGGAAUAUUAGACAAUGGGCGCAAGCCUGAUCCAGCCAUACCGCGUGGGUGAAGAAGGCCUUCGGGUUGGAAAGCCCUUUUGUUGGGAAAGAAAAGCAGCAGGUUAAUACCCCGCUGUUCUGACGGUACCCAAAGAAGAAGCACCGGCUAACUUCGUG
rnacentral:rRNA from 1 species